rnacentral:rRNA from 1 species
AAGUCGGACUAAUACCGCAUGAAGCAGGGGUCCCGCAUGGGGGAUAUUUGCUAAAGAUUCAUCGCUGAUAGAUAGGCAUGCGUUCCAUUGGGCAGUUGGCGGGGUAACGGCCCACCAAACCGACGAUGGAUAGGGGUUCUGAGAGGAAGGUCCCCCACAUUGGAACUGAGACACGGUCCAAACUCCUACGGGAGGCAGCAGUGAGGAAUAUUGGUCAAUGGACGAGAGUCUGAACCAGCCAAGUAGCGUGAAGGAUGACUGCCCUAUGGGUUGUAAACUUCUUUUAUACGGGAAUAAAGUGAGCCACGUGUGGCUUUUUGUAUGUACCGUAUGAAUAAGGAUCGGCUAACUCCGUG